rnacentral:rRNA from 1 species
CGCACGGGUGAGUAACACGUAUCCAACCUGCCGUCUACUCUUGGACAGCCUUCUGAAAGGAAGAUUAAUACAAGAUGGCAUCAUGAGUCCACAUGUUCACAUGAUUAAAGGUAUUCCGGUAGACGAUGGGGAUGCGUUCCAUUAGAUAGUAGGCGGGGUAACGGCCCACCUAGUCUUCGAUGGAUAGGGGUUCUGAGGGGAAGGUCCCCCACAUUGGAACUGAGACACGGUCCAA